UACGUAGGGGGCAAGCGUUGUCCGGAAUUAUUGGGCGUAAAGGGCGUGUAGGCGGUCCGCUAAGUCUGAUGUGAAAGCCCGGGGCUCACCCCCGGAAGUGCAUUGGAAACUGGCGGACUCGAGUCCCGGAGAGGAGAGUGGAAUUCCUGGUGUAGCGGUGAAAUGCGUAGAUAUCAGGAGGAACACCGGUGGCGAAGGCGGCUCUCUGGACGGUGACUGACGCUGAGACGCGAAAGCGUGGGGAGCAAACAGG
rnacentral:rRNA from 1 species